rnacentral:rRNA from 1 species
UACGGAGGGUGCAAGCGUUAUCCGGAUUCACUGGGUUUAAAGGGUGCGUAGGUGGGACUGUAAGUCAGUGGUGAAAUCUCCGGGCUUAACCUGGAAACUGCCAUUGAUACUAUAGUUCUUGAAUUUUCUGGAGGUAAGCGGAAUAUGUCAUGUAGCGGUGAAAUGCUUAGAUAUGACAUAGAACACCAAUUGCGAAGGCAGCUGGCUACACGAAUAUUGACACUGAUGCACGAAAGCGUGGGGAUCAAACAGGA